rnacentral:rRNA from 1 species
UUGAACGCUGGCGGCAUGCCUUACACAUGCAAGUCGAGCGGCAGCGCGGGGGCAACCCUGGCGGCGAGCGGCGAACGGGUGAGUAAUGCAUCGGAACGUGUCCUCUUGUGGGGGAUAACCAGUCGAAAGACUGGCUAAUACCGCAUGAGAUCGAGAGAUGAAAGCAGGGGACCGCAAGGCCUUGCGCGAGAGGAGCGGCCGAUGCCCGAUUAGCUAGUUGGUGAGGUAAUAGCUCACCAAGGCGACGAUCGGUAGCUGGUCUGAGAGGACGACCAGCCACACUGGGACUGAGACACGGCCCAGACUCCUACGGGAGGCAGCAGUGGGGAAUUUUGGACAAUGGGGGCAACCCUGAUCCAGCCAUGCCGCGUGUGUGAAGAAGGCCUUCGGGUUGUAAAGCACUUUCGGCCGGAACGAAAUCGCGCGAGUUAACACCCCGCGUGGAUGACGGUACCGGAAGAAGAAGCACCGGCUAACUACGU